rnacentral:rRNA from 1 species
UACGUAGGGGGCAAGCGUUGUCCGGAUUUAUUGGGCGUAAAGAGCGUGUAGGCGGCCAGACAGGUCCGUUGUGAAAACUGGAGGCUUAACCUUCAGACGUCGAUGGAAACCGUCGGGCUAGAGUCCGGAAGAGGAGAGUGGAAUUCCUGGUGUAGCGGUGAAAUGCGCAGAUAUCAGGAAGAACACCCGUGGCGAAAGCGGCUCUCUGGAACGGUACUGACGCUGAGACGCGAAAAGCGUGGGGAGCGAACAGG